AUGCUCGCUUAGGCAGCACAUAUAGUAAAAUUGUAAUGAUACAGAGAUUAGCAUGACCCCUGCACAAGGAUGACUUGCAAAUUCGUGAAGCAUUCUAUAUUUUU